AUCCGAGUGCACGGGCGUUUUCCUUCUCCGUGAAGCGAUAAGCUGAGAGAGGAAUUUUGCUAGUUGAAAACUAUUUUUGACCACUUCUCAUUGGGUUCGCCCGGUGAGAGAAUUUUUGGAACCUUUCUUUCAUUGCGUACCGGUUUCGCGAAG
rnacentral:snRNA from 1 species